ACAGAGACUGCAAGCGUUAUUCGGAUUCACUGGGCGUAAAGCGUGCGCAGGCGGUUUUGUAAGACAGAGGUGAAAUCCCCGGGCUUAACCUGGGAACUGCAUUUGUGACUGCAAGGCUGGAGUGCGGCAGAGGGGGAUGGAAUUCCGCGUGUAGCAGUGAAAUGCGUAGAUAUGCGGAGGAACACCGAUGGCGAAGGCAAUCCCCUGGGCCUGCACUGACGCUCAUGCACGAAAGCGUGGGGAGCAAACAGGA
rnacentral:rRNA from 1 species